rnacentral:lncRNA from 1 species
AAGCUAUAACAUAUUAAGUACAGUUAAUUUGUAUGACUAAAUUUACAUAGUAAGCAGAGGCCCCCGCGCAGACUGACUUAGCGAGCACUUAUAUAGGUCGCGGCUCGGCUUCGCGGGACGAUGCUUCUUGAAGGAGACAAUGUUCUUCAGAGGCUCUUCUUCUUCUUCUUCUUCUUCUUCUUCUUCUUUGUUAACACAAUGAGAGAAAGAGGGAGAUGAGUGCGGAGUAGGAGAUUAGACGAUGAUAUUUUUUUAUGGUGUAUGUAAAAGAGUUACAAAAGAGAGAGGGUAGGAGAUUAAUUAAUGGAGGAGGGGAGUGGUGCAUGUAAAAGAAUUACAAAAGAGAGGGAGUGGGAGAUUAAUAGAGGAGGAAAGUGGUUAAAGUUAUAAAAUAGAAUCUUAAUAUGGUGCAUGUAAUUAAAUAUUGCAUGUAAUUAGAGUAGUGGUGAGGUGAGUUAGGCGUUAAGAAAAGAAGAAGGUGGUUUGAUUUAAAGUUGGAUUUACAGUUACAUAUAAUUAAAUAUUGUAACUUACAUAUAAUUAGAGGAGUGAGAAGGUGAAAAAUUGAGAGUUGAAAAGAGGAGAAGGUGGUUUGAUUUAAAGUUAGCUAUGAGAAAUAAGAAUAACAUGCCACGUGGCAAAAAAUAUUGUGGCUUUAUAUAGGUUUAUAGAUAGUCAGAGCAUACGUGAAGCUUUAAUUACUAUCAUCUCUCAGCAAUAAUCGUCAUCAGAGUAUAAAA